GUCUCGGUAGCUCAAUUUGUAGAGCGUUGAAUUCGUAAUUUAAGGGUCGCGGAUUCGAUACCUGCCUCAGCCA